rnacentral:tRNA from 1 species
GGUGGCUCAGUGGUAGAGUGCUUCCCUUGCAUGUAUGAGGCCCUGGGUUCAAUUCCUAGAGCCA